rnacentral:piRNA from 1 species
UAGAAUUUCCGGUCUGGUCACACUC